AUGCACGCUGGCGGCGUGCUUAACCCAUGCAAGUCGAACGAAGCACUUUAUUUGAUUUCCUUCGGGACUGAUUAUUUUGUGACUGAGUGGCGGACGGGUGAGUAACGCGUGGGUAACCUGCCUUGUACAGGGGGAUAACAGUUGGAAACGGCUGCUAAUACCGCAUAAGCGCACGGCAUCGCAUGAUGCAGUGUGAAAAACUCCGGUGGUAUAAGAUGGACCCGCGUUGGAUUAGCUAGUUGGUGAGGUAACGGCCCACCAAGGCGACGAUCCAUAGCCGACCUGAGAGGGUGACCGGCCACAUUGGGACUGAGACACGGCCCAAACUCCUACGGGAGGCAGCAGUGGGGAAUAUUGCACAAUGGGCGAAAGCCUGAUGCAGCGACGCCGCGUGAGCGAAGAAGUAUUUCGGUAUGUAAAGCUCUAUCAGCAGGGAAGAUAAUGACGGUACCUGACGAAGAAGCACCGGCUAAAUACGUG
rnacentral:rRNA from 1 species